AAAAGAUUUAAUUGAUAUUAUUUCACUAUACAUUUGGUAGUUAUUACCAGAUUUGUUUUCAGUGUAUCAUCGCGCGAUCGUAAUUGUAUUUUCGCGAGUGAGUUAGUGCAAUCCUGUUGAUGAUCGGAGAGGAAGAGGGUGAGGCCUGUAAGGCAAUCUUCAGAUAUUCCCCGAGGUGGACAGCGAUGAGAAGAGGACAACGUCCAUCGUCGCCGACUUAUAACAAAAUAAAUGAACCGUAGCCGGUUCGUCGCGUCGAGCGUUUUUUUCCGGGAGUGUCGUUUAAGUAUUAGACUAAUGAACUUUUUAUAACUCUCAUUUGAUAGAAUCUUAAUUCGAGGACCGGGAAUCGCACCCCCGCUGCUUGGCAGUGGAUAUCUCUUCACUGGGGCGUUGCGCAUGGUGGCCGCGCGCGGCGCACCGCGACGUUCCAUGCCGAGUGCCCGUGCACGAGGUAAUGCCGGGUCGCGUUAUAGCAUGUUUCCCCUGUGUGCAUGUUGCGCAGCUGUCUGGUUGUGUGAGGUUUACACGCUCUGUCUCCGACGAUCGGUUCGGUCCUAAGCGGUAAGAGUUCGGAUCGGUUGCCUUGGAUUCGCACGUUUCUCUUGCUCUCGUCCACCUAAGGCUUUCUUAGAUCCUUGAUACCCUUUUUGGAUUCUUUGGAUCUGAGGUUCGAGCUAGUGAAUCACGUUUAAUCUGACUUGGUCAGAACUUGGCCUUGUAGGUUAAGCUUGUGACGAGAGGCUGGCACUCAUUUCCUGAUUCGUCUAAAAUGCUAGACGUCGGCAAUGAGUACCUUCUUCUCUCGUCCUGCCGGAGUGUCUUGUCGACGCCGCUUGGAUAUAAGAUCCAGUGGGACUGAUCUCGAUGAUCCGUUGGCUGGGCUUAUGAACGAGUCAAUUUUAGACGUGAUUUUUGUGAGACAAGAGGCUUCGGAUUCAAUGCCAUUGAUUUCGUUUUCUUCCGCGUGGGGCUUACCCUUUUUCGGGGGCGGGUACGCGUGCGUCCUACUCGCCGACUCGGGGUGCUGAAUCUACGGGAAUCCCUCUGAAUGGGAACUCAUAUCAUGGGUUUUAUAAACCCGAAGUGCCGCAAUGUCGCGCGAAAAACUUUAUAGAUAAUUAGUCCACGCGCGCAAAUUUAAUAUAUUAUUCGCGAGUGUUUCGCGUGUGCACCGAGAGGAAGAAGACAACCUAAAGGACACUGAGAGGAGGAGGAGGCAUCGGGCCUCAGCGGAGCAACCUUGGGUAAUCAUCGCAGCUUCGUGGCUGAUCAACUCCGCUCGUUGCGCAUCGGGUCGGUGAGUCAAAAAUCAAUUUUUUUUAUUAUAUAAUAAGAUUUUCUUAUUAUAUAAUAUUACAUUGCUUUGCAAAUGUGUCCUGCGCAGGAUCAAAGUUAUUUUAGUAGCAUGAAAUGUGAUGCUUAUAUAAAUAUAUUAUAGAACAAUUAUGUAUUAUCAAAAUGUGAACGUAUUUCUCAACUUUGAGAGCAAAAUAAUAAAGCGAAGGAGAACGCCGUUUUUCGCUCGAUUUCUUGAUGCAUACUAAAAUUUUUAUGUGAAUUUUUUAAAUUUUUAGUUCACGCAAAUUGUGCGCCGAUUAUUUGUCGGUUUUGAAACACUGCUCUAAAUUGAAGCUGGAAUACGCAACAUUACCGGUUAAAUUGAGCAGCAAUUUAAUAAUACUUUAAUACUAACAAGCAUCUUAAAACACAGAAUUUAUUGUGAAAAAUAACAUUUUAGCCAGGAUUCGAUCCUGGGUCAGAUAAAAUCAAGGAACCUUUAAUUACAUUGUGUGGCAAAUUUAAACUUUUUCAGAUCACAGACAAUAAAAUUCUUAUAGAUUUUUUUUUUUUGAAAACGAAUCCGCGAAUGAAAUUACUGAACUAUGUCACGUAUUUAAGAAAAUUGAACUUAAAGUUUCCAAAAAUGGUACGUUUGAUACUUUUGAACUAAAAUAUUGUAGCUCAAAAAUGUGACAGGAGAGUGCAAUUUCAUUAGCGGAUUCG